rnacentral:lncRNA from 1 species
GGUUGAUCUUUGAGCUGAUAGUAUGCUAUAGUAGAUAUUGGAUAUUUUGUUGGACUAACCCCUGCAGGAGAACUUUCAAUAUCGACCUGGGAAGUCCUGAGAUAAACUCACAUUGGAGACAAAGAGAGAGACACAUGAAGUUUAACAAUUUACACAAGGAAGGCAUAGCUCACAAGAGAUGAUCCAUGGAGGGUGCCACAAACACAAUGCACAACCGCUAAGAGAGGAAAGCUUCCACAAGGUGAUACUAUACCAUCACUCUUCAAGUAAGGUAACAUCUUAAGGUACUUGACUAUCACUUUUAUAAGCUUCUCCUUGGUUCUGGUGUUCACAUGAAUAAAAGAGACAAACAUGUAUGAUUUACAACUAUAGAUUAACCAACCCAAUCGAUUCAAUAUGUUUUGUCCUUCCACCUUUGUGAUCCCACACUCCUAAUCAUAUGAGCUAAAAUGUUGCACACUCAAUCUUUGGAAGAUAUAUUUUAUAAAAAAAAAGCAACAUAAAUAUAGAUAGAUUAUCUUUCCAUUAGGUUGAGCGAUUUGAUCUGACAAAUGUUUUAAAUGCUACACUCAUGAUCUUAUUAUCCAUCAACUUUGUCUUGCUCACUAUGCUUAAGGUUAGAGAGAACAAAUACACUUUUGGUUCUGUUGGUGUUUCCCACCAACAGAGCCCAUGCACUUGAUCUCUGCCUUGUCUCUAUGAGCAGGUACACUUCGAGCAAAAUAUGAAGGAGUUUUACAACUCCCAGACUCCACCAAGUGAAGAACCUAGAUCUACGAGCACAAACACACUGGAGAUAUUGGACACUCAGGCAAUCACAGCCCUGAGAUGCUUGAGGACGUAACUACUAGAGUAACCCC